AUCUGCCACAUAACUUUCUAGUCCCUAAAAGAAGGGUCAAAAUAAAAACAUAGUUAGAAAACUGAUCAACACAGGUCACGCAGUGCUGGACUUAGAGGCUGUAAUAAUGACGUAAAGCAUGAAUGCUAAAAGCUGGACUGAGAUACAAAAAUUUAAAAGUCAAUAAAAAAUUCUAUUUAGUUUACUUUUAAACCUGGGUUUAAUGGCCUAUUAUGGAAGCAUAAAACAAACAACAAAAAGAGGGAAAAAUGUUCUGAUUAUAACAUAAUAUUUAAAGUUAAUAAGAUGACAGUCAUUCUUCCUAUAAUCAUCACCCAACAGUUAACAUUCUAAGCAAGGUGGCUAUUUCUGAUGCUAGAACUAAGC
rnacentral:lncRNA from 1 species